rnacentral:rRNA from 1 species
AUUGAACGCUGGCGGCAGGCCUAACACGUGCAAGUCGAGCGGAUGAAGGGAGCUUGCUCCUGGAUUCAGCGGCGGACGGGUGAGUAAUGCCUAGGAAUCUGCCUGGUAGUGGGGGAUAACGUCCGGAAACGGGCGCUAAUACCGCAUACGUCCUGAGGGAGAAAGUGGGGGAUCUUCGGACCUCACGCUAUCAGAUGAGCCUAGGUCGGAUUAGCUAGUUGGUGGGGUAAAGGCCUACCAAGGCGACGAUCCGUAACUGGUCUGAGAGGAUGAUCAGUCACACUGGAACUGAGACACGGUCCAGACUCCUACGGGAGGCAGCAGUGGGGAAUAUUGGACAAUGGGCGAAAGCCUGAUCCAGCCAUGCCGCGUGUGUGAAGAAGGUCUUCGGAUUGUAAAGCACUUUAAGUCGGGAGGAAGGGCAGUAAGUUAAUACCUUGCUGUUUUGACGUUACCAACAGAAUAAGCACCGGCUAACUUCGUG